rnacentral:rRNA from 1 species
UACGAAGGGUGCAAGCGUUACUCGGAAUUACUGGGCGUAAAGCGCGCGCAGGUGGUUUCUUAAGUCUGAUGUGAAAGCCCACGGCUCAACCGUGGAGGGUCAUUGGAAACUGGGAGACUUGAGUGCAGAAGAGGAAAGUGGAAUUCCAUGUGUAGCGGUGAAAUGCGUAGAGAUAUGGAGGAACACCAGUGGCGAAGGCGACUUUCUGGUCUGUAACUGACACUGAGGCGCGAAAGCGUGGGGAGCAAACAGG